GUUAAGCGACUAAGCGUACACGGUGGAUGCCCUGGCAGUCAGAGGCGAUGAAGGGCGUGCUAAUCUGCGAUAAGCGCCGGUAAGGUGAUAUGAACCGUUAUAACCGGCGAUACCCGAAUGGGGAAACCCAGUGUGAUUCGUCACACUAUCAUUAACUGAAUCCAUAGGUUAAUGAGGCGAACCGGGGGAACUGAAACAUCUAAGUACCCCGAGGAAAAGAAAUCAACCGAGAUUCCCCCAGUAGCGGCGAGCGAACGGGGAGGAGCCCAGAGCCUGAAUCAGCAUGUGUGUUAGUGGAAGCGUCUGGAAAGGCGCGCGAUACAGGGUGACAGCCCCGUACACAAAAGCGCAUGUGCUGUGAGCUCGAUGAGUAGGGCGGGACACGUGGUAUCCUGUCUGAAUAUGGGGGGACCAUCCUCCAAGGCUAAAUACUCCUGACUGACCGAUAGUGAACCAGUACCGUGAGGGAAAGGCGAAAAGAACCCCGGCGAGGGGAGUGAAAAAGAACCUGAAACCGUGUACGUACAAGCAGUGGGAGCACAGGUUUACCUGUGUGACUGCGUACCUUUUGUAUAAUGGGUCAGCGACUUAUAUUCUGUAGCAAGGUUAACCGUAUAGGGGAGCCGCAGGGAAACCGAGUCUUAAUUGGGCGUUAAGUUGCAGGGUAUAGACCCGAAACCCGGUGAUCUAGCCAUGGGCAGGUUGAAGGUUGGGUAACACUAACUGGAGGACCGAACCGACUAAUGUUGAAAAAUUAGCGGAUGACCUGUGGCUGGGGGUGAAAGGCCAAUCAAACCGGGAGAUAGCUGGUUCUCCCCGAAAGCUAUUUAGGUAGCGCCUCGUGAAUUCAUCUCCGGGGGUAGAGCACUGUUUCGGCUAGGGGGCCAUCCCGGCUUACCAACCCGAUGCAAACUGCGAAUACCGGAGAAUGUUAUCACGGGAGACACACGGCGGGUGCUAACGUCCGUCGUGAAGAGGGAAACAACCCAGACCGCCAGCUAAGGUCCCAAAGUCAUGGUUAAGUGGGAAACGAUGUGGGAAGGCCCAGACAGCCAGGAUGUUGGCUUAGAAGCAGCCAUCAUUUAAAGAAAGCGUAAUAGCUCACUGGUCGAGUCGGCCUGCGCGGAAGAUGUAACGGGGCUAAACCAUGCACCGAAGCUGCGGCAGCGACGCUGAUGCGUUGUUGGGUAGGGGAGCGUUCUGUAAGCCUGCGAAGGUGGCCUGUGAGGGUUGCUGGAGGUAUCAGAAGUGCGAAUGCUGACAUAAGUAACGAUAAAGCGGGUGAAAAGCCCGCUCGCCGGAAGACCAAGGGUUCCUGUCCAACGUUAAUCGGGGCAGGGUGAGUCGACCCCUAAGGCGAGGCCGAAAGGCGUAGUCGAUGGGAAACGGGUUAAUAUUCCCGUACUUGGUGUUACUGCGAAGGGGGGACGGAGAAGGCUAUGUUGGCCGGGCGACGGUUGUCCCGGUUUAAGCGUGUAGGUGUGUGUUCCAGGUAAAUC
rnacentral:rRNA from 1 species